rnacentral:lncRNA from 1 species
AUCUCUUGGAGCUCUAACUCACCUCUCUGGUGUUGUUCUCAUUUGAUUAAUCUAGUUCUUGCCAGUUCUUCUUGAACUUCUUGUUAGAUCUCGAGUUUGUAUUUCUAUGUCCGUGACAGGUGGAAACCAUUUUUGCUAAGGUAAGUUAUUAUCAGCCAUAUGUCUUGCUUGGUAAGAAUAGAAAUCAUCUUUAUCAUAUGGCCUUCCCUCAAGCAACCACGUAUAGAUAUGUGGUCCUUUUGAUCAUUUGGCUUCUUUUAACUACC